UGGGGAAUAUUGGACAAUGGGCGGAAGCCUGAUCCAGCCAUGCCGCGUGUGUGAAGAAGGCCUUAUGGUUGUAAAGCACUUUAAGCGAGGAGGAGGGUACUGGUAUUAAUACUACCAGGUACUGGACGUUACUCGCAGAAUAAGCACCGGCUAACUCUGUGCCAGCAGCCGCGGUAAUACAGAGGGUGCGAGCGUUAAUCGGAUUUACUGGGCGUAAAGCGUGCGUAGGCGGCUAAUUGAGUCGGAUGUGAAAUCCCCGAGCUUAACUUGGGAAUUGCAUUAGAUACUGGUUAGCUAGAGAGUGGGAGAGGAUGGUAGAAUUCCAGGUGUAGCGGUGAAAUGCGUAGAGAUCUGGAGGAAUACCGAUGGCGAAGGCAGCCAUCUGGCCUAACACUGACGCUGAGGUACGAAAGCAUGGGGAGCAAACAGG
rnacentral:rRNA from 1 species